GAAACUCGAGCUAAUACCGCAUACGCCCUACGGGGGAAAGCAGGGGAUCUUCGGACCUUGCACUAUUGGAUGAGCCUAUGUCGGAUUAGCUUGUUGGUGGGGUAAAGGCCCACCAAGGCGACGAUCCGUAGCUGGUCUGAGAGGACGAUCAGCCACACUGGGACUGAGACACGGCCCAGACUCCUACGGGAGGCAGCAGUGGGGAAUAUUGGACAAUGGGGGCAACCCUGAUCCAGCAAUACCGCGUGUGUGAAGAAGGCCUGCGGGUUGUAAAGCACUUUCAGUAGGGAGGAAAAGCUUAAGGUUAAUACCCUUAAGUCUUGACGUUACCUACAGAAGAAGCACCGGCUAACUCCNUGCCAGCAGCCGCGGUAAUACGGGGGGUGCAAGCGUUAAUCGGAUUUACUGGGCGUAAAGCGCACGUAGGUGGUUAAGUAAGUCGGAUGUGAAAGCCCUGGGCUCAACCUGGGAAUNGCAUUCGAAACUGCUUGACUAGAAUUAUGGUAGAGGAGAGGGGAAUUCCCGGUGUAGCGGUGAAAUGCGUAAA
rnacentral:rRNA from 1 species